UACGGAGGGGGCUAGCGUUGUUCGGAAUUACUGGGCGUAAAGCGCACGUAGGCGGCUUUGUAAGUUAGAGGUGAAAGCCCGGGGCUCAACUCCGGAAUUGCCUUUAAGACUGCAUCGCUAGAAUUGUGGAGAGGUGAGUGGAAUUCCGAGUGUAGAGGUGAAAUUCGUAGAUAUGGGGUGGAACACCGGUGGCGAAGGCGGCCAUCUGGACGACAACUGACGCUGAGACGCGAAAGCGUGGGGAGCAAACAGG
rnacentral:rRNA from 1 species